UUGGCAGAAUAAGUCCUGUUGAAUUCUGUGGAAGGUUAUUUCAGUGCAAGAAUUACAGUAGAAAUCCAUUUUUUUUUUUAAAAAGAGGCAUAUAUUUAAUGAAUAUACAGACAGUCCUUCAACAGUUGAUCAACAUCUAUAAAUUAAAUAUAAAUACAUAUAUUUAAUGCAACAAAAGCUAAAAUGUCAAUUUUUUAGGAACCUUUGGUGACUUCUCACCAUUGUUCUGGAACCAAGAUGCUAUGAUUAGAUCCACAGUUCUCUAGACAAUUUUAAUUCCUUGUCAUUUUUGGAUACAAAAUAUGAAAAGUGGACUUGAACAUCAGUCCCAUAAAAAGUGCAAACUGAAACAUAUACCUAUUUUGAGUCCAUCUGAAAAUCCUGAUAUUAUUUUGCAAUACUAUCUUUAGAAGCCUAUUCAUGUCACUAUAAUGUCAGAAAGUGAUGAGAAGGGAUUAGACAUCAAUAACAAAGCAUAUGUUUUGCAGCCAAAAAAAUCACAACCAGGCCACCCAAGCCUGGGGAGGACUUUAAACCAAAAACCAUAACCAAAAGGAACAGAUAAUAAUGGCGGAACAGGGUAAAUAUUGUUUUAACUCAGUUUUCUAUAUUCUACACAUUUAUAUAUGUAUGCAUAAAACAUGUAAAUCCUAGUAGAUCUGAAUACACUGCUCUGGAGAAGGUAUGUACUAGUGUCUAGAGGCUAAAGAAAUCAACCUAUACUAAUGUUAUGUGACUUUAAUGUUCAUCUUUGGUAGUACCAUAAAACAGAUGAUUUAUUCCAAGAAUGACUAGAUGGCAUUCACUUCAUUCUCAACCAGACUGACUGUACAGGUCAGUGUUUCUCAAACUUAGAAACUUGG